GUCUACGGCCAUGCUAUCCUGAACAAGCCCGAUCUCGUCUGAUCUCAGAAGCUAAGUAGGGUUGGGUCUAGUUAGUACUUGGAUGGGAGACCACCUAGGGAAACCAGGUGCUGUAGGCC
rnacentral:rRNA from 1 species